rnacentral:rRNA from 1 species
UACAGAGGUCUCAAGCGUUGUUCGGAUUCAUUGGGCGUAAAGGGUGCGUAGGUGGCGUCGUAAGUCAGGUGUGAAAUCUCGGGGCUUAACUCCGAAACUGCAUUUGAUACUGCGGUGCUUGAGGACUGGAGAGGAGACUGGAAUUUACGGUGUAGCAGUGAAGUGCGUAGAGAUCGUAAGGAAGACCAGUGGCGAAGGCGGGUCUCUGGGCUGACACUGACGCUCAUGCACGAAAGCGUGGGGAGCAAACAGG